GGGCGCAUGGUGUAGGGGUUAUCACGUUCGCUUUGCAUAAGGGCACAACCUCUGGGUACUUUGCGAAAGGUCUCCGGUUCAAUUCCGGAUGUGUCCA